rnacentral:rRNA from 1 species
UACGAAGGGGGCUAGCGUUGCUCGGAAUCACUGGGCGUAAAGCGCACGUAGGCGGAUUGUUAAGUCAGGGGUGAAAUCCUGGAGCUCAACUCCAGAACUGCCUUUGAUACUGGCGAUCUUGAGUCCGGGAGAGGUGAGUGGAACUGCGAGUGUAGAGGUGAAAUUCGUAGAUAUUCGCAAGAACACCAGUGGCGAAGGCGGCUCACUGGCCCGAUACUGACGCUGAGGCACGAAGGCCAGGGGAGCAAACGGG